GUCACGGUGGCUAAGAAGGAUGUCCACAUGCCUAAGCACCCGGAGCUGGCAGACAAGAAUGUGCCCAACCUUCAUGUCAUGAAGGCCAUGCAGUCUCUCAAGUCCUGAGACUACGUGAAGGAACAGUUUGCCUGGAGACAUUUCUACUGGUACCUUACCAAUGAAGGCAUCCAGUAUCUCCGUGAUUAUCUUCAUCUGCCCCUGGAGAUUGUGCCUGCCACCCUACGCCACAACCGUCCAGAGACUGGCAGGCCUCCGCCUAAAGGUCUGGAGGGUGAGCCACCUGCAAGACUCAAAAGAGAGGAAACCGACAGAGAUACCUACAGACGGAGUGCUGUGCCCCCUGGUGCCGACAAGAAAACCGAGGCUGGGGCCGGGUCAGCAACCAAAUUCCAGUUUAGAGGCGGAUUUGGAUGUGGACGUGGUCAACCACCUCAG
rnacentral:rRNA from 1 species